UACGGCCGCCAAUUUUGUUAAAUCAAAUUUAAAUAUAUAAAAAAUGUAUAUAGAGGUUUUCAUAUGUAUAUAUGUCUAUGGCCGACCGCUUUGUAGCGCCAUGAGAAACCGAAACAAGUUCGCUGCAUAAAUUAACCAAAGUCAAAGUAACGAAAUCAAAGUGCCAAACAGCACCAAACAGCAGCAGCAGCAGCAGCUGAAGAGAGCGCAAAGAUCAGAGUUGAUUUAAACACACUGCAAAACAAGAAAGCACUAGAAACAUAUACUAGACGAAGACUUAAUGCACUCACUGUCAAAGCAAAGCGAUUAAACUUGGAUAAGCUAAAAUAAAAUCCGUUUAUCACAUAAACAUUUCACCGAAUGCGCACUCAAGUAAAGCCUACAAUAAACAAAUAUUGUUGUGAUAUAAGACUCUUAAUGCAGGUUACUGGUUCGAAUCCCUUGCUUUUAAAAAAGCUUGUGAGUUCAGUUCGGCUUACGCAAGCUGUUUUCCAAAAUUUUCCGUCAAUUUUGCGUCUGCUGUCAGCACAGUCUAAAAGUGUUGCACACAGACUUAAGUUCUGCGCGUUUCACAACACUAGAUAUCCUUUAUUGAUUUCUUUUGGAUAAUUGUCAAUGCUUUAUAAACAAAUUUUAGAUUUAAAUUUUCAUUUCAACAUAUUUAUAUCUGCGACAUAUAAAUAAAACUGAACUUAAGAGAAGUAGCUGGUUCAAAUCGAUGCAAAGAAUAUGCACAUUGCCAUUGCCAUGUUGCAGACUGUUAAUAAUAAACUAUUUAUAAUUAUUGCUAAGUAGAUUCCCCACAAAAUGGAACCUAAAAAUAGCAAAAAAGUGAGUCUCAAACCGGCUCAGUUAGCUGCACUUACACAUAAAUAAUAUGGCGAAGCGCACUUUGAUUAAGUUACGUAUGCGGUGCUAGAGUGAUGAGACCCUGGGGAAGUGUAUGCACAGAAAAAGUUAGCAACUAACAACAAAGUCACGAUAUAAAUAAAGAGCAGUCAACGUUAACGGCGAGCAA